rnacentral:rRNA from 1 species
GAUGAACGCUGGCGGCGUGCCUAAUACAUGCAAGUCGAGCGAAGCGGGGACGGGUGAGUAACACGUGGAUAACCUCCUAUAAGACUGGGAUACAUUCGGGAAACCGGAGCUAAACACGUCACUUAUACAUGGAUCCGCGCUGCAUUAGCUAGUGGGUAAGGUAACGGCUUACCAAGGCAACGAUGCAUAGCCGACCUGAGAGGGUGAUCGGCCACACUGGAACUGAGACACGGUCCAGACUCCUACGGGAGGCAGCAGUGGGGAAUAUUCCGCAAUGGGCGAAAGCCUGACGGAGCAACGCCGCGUGAGUGAUGAAGGUCUUCGGAUCGUAAAACUCUGUUAUUAGGGAAGCGGUACCUAAUCAGAAAGCCACGGCUAACUACGUGCCAGCAGCCGCGGUAAUUC